rnacentral:sRNA from 1 species
UCCAGUCGCAGAUACGGCGCGCGAUGGC